AUUGAACGCUGGCGGCAUGCCUUACACAUGCAAGUCGAACGGCAGCACGGGAGCAAUCCUGGUGGCGAGUGGCGAACGGGUGAGUAAUAUAUCGGAACGUGCCCAGUCGUGGGGAUAACGUAGCGAAAGCUACGCUAAUACCGCAUACGAUCUAUGGAUGAAAGCGGGGGAUCGCAAGACCUCGCGCGAUUGGAGCGGCCGAUAUCAGAUUAGGUAGUUGGUGAGGUAAAGGCUCACCAAGCCGACGAUCUGUAGCUGGUCUGAGAGGACGACCAGCCACACUGGGACUGAGACACGGCCCAGACUCCUACGGGAGGCAGCAGUGGGAAUUUUGGACAAUGGGCGCAAGCCUGAUCCAGCAAUGCCGCGUGCAGGAUG
rnacentral:rRNA from 1 species